rnacentral:rRNA from 1 species
AACGAACGCUGGCGGCAUGCCUAACACAUGCAAGUCGAACGAGACCUUCGGGUCUAGUGGCGCACGGGUGCGUAACGCGUGGGAACCUGCCCUUAGGUUCGGAAUAACUCCCCGAAAGGGGUGCUAAUACCGGAUAAUGUCUUCGGACCAAAGAUUUAUCGCCUUUGGAUGGGCCCGCGUUGGAUUAGCUAGUUGGUAGGGUAAAAGCCUACCAAGGCGACGAUCCAUAGCUGGUCUGAGAGGAUGAUCAGCCACACUGGGACUGAGACAUGGCCCAGACUCCUACGGGAGGCAGCAGUGGGGAAUAUUGGGCAAUGGGCGAAAGCCUGAUCCAGCAAUGCCGCGUGAGUGAUGAAGGCCUUAGGGUUGUAAAGCUCUUUUACCCGGGAUGAUAAUGACAGUACCGGGAGAAUAAGCUCCGGCUAACUCCGUG